rnacentral:antisense_RNA from 1 species
CUUCAGGGAGCCGAGCCACAGUGGCCGGUCCUCGGGACGGUUCUGGCCGUAGGUGGCGAGCAGGGCCCCGGCCUC